rnacentral:rRNA from 1 species
UACGUAGGGUGCGAGCGUUGUCCGGAAUCAUUGGGCGUAAAGCGCGUGUAGGCGGUCCGGUAAGUCCGCUGUGAAAGUCGGGGGCUCAACCCUCGGAUGCCGGUGGAUACUGUCGGGCUUGAGUACGGAAGAGGCGAGUGGAAUUCCUGGUGUAGCGGUGAAAUGCGCAGAUAUCAGGAGGUACACCAAUUGCGAAGGCAGCUCGCUGGGACGUUACUGACGCUGAGACGCGAAAGCGUGGGGAGCAAACAGG